UGGCAGGUCAAUUGCAGGGAUGCCUGCUUUGCCUGUUCACUCACAUUACAGCCCAGGACUCAGUCAAGGAUGCCUACUGGAAGCCUGUUCUUCAGCUUUGGGACUCAGACUGGCUUCCUUGCUCCUCAGCUUGCAGAUGGCCUAUUGUGGGACCUUGUGAUUGUCUCUUUCAGCCCUACCAUUUGGCGGGUCCCGAGUUCUUGUCCUGCAUCCAGGAAGAAUGAGGUAUGCAGACAACUGGAAGAUGGAGUGAAGCUUGUUGAUUAAGAAGAUUUUGUCUUCCCCCUCGUUGCUGAUCUGCUCCUUGAGCAGGCAGAUGACCUUCCUCUGGUCCAGCACCACCUGGAUGUUGAGGUAGAUCACAGCCAGCAGCAGGGCCAACACCAGGAAGACGAAGAAGGUGUUUUCCACCAGGUACCGGUGCGCCCAGGGCAGCCAGGAGCCCCUGGGGCCCGCUGCCUCCAGUUGGGGCACCCACAUCCUGCGGGCCUCGUACAUGGUGUCCAGGGUCCGGAAGGGGCCGCAGAUGGCUGAGGGUGUAGCAGAGGCCAGACGGCAUAGCAGAGGAAGAGGUGGCGCCCAGGAAAGCGGGGAAGCAGAGCAGCGUGAGGAAGAUGGUGCUCACGUGGGAGGCCAGCCAAGGCCGGAGCAGUGCCUGGCAGUUGGCCAAAAGGCUGGUCUACUUGACGUAGAAGACGAGCAGCAGCUUGAUGAUCUGCACCGCGUGGAGGAGCGGCGAGAAAGAGCACCCCCAGCCAGGUCAGAGUCGGCCCGUAAAUCAGCUCCAGAACAUUCCGGGCAAUGUCAAACUCAGGCUUCCGUCUCCUCUUCAGCUUCUUCUCGGAGAUAAUCCUCCACAUCAAUUCCCCGAAAAGCGUGUCCAGCACGUGAGGACGAGUCCAUCACCAGGAACCCAUACAGCACGGGUUCCUCCCAGCACUGGCCCUGCAGGGCGCCCACCCUGCGGCCCUGCCAGUGGUAGCACAGUGUCCCCAGGAUGGCCAGCUUGAGGAUGAAGUUCCUGCAGAUGGCCACGUACAACUCCAGCACCGGGGAGUCAUGCAGCUCCAGGGCGGUCAGGCCAAGGCACGGGUAGGGGCCCCCCAGGUUGAGGGGGCCGACCACCAGAGGCAGGACCAGCAGCGCGGGCUCCUGGCCAGCAGCCUCCGGAUUCUGCAUCAUGAACUCCGAGAAGAUGUGGACGGCCACAGCGCAGCCCAGCGCAGUCCCCAGACACAGGAGCCACAUGAGCCCCAGCAUGGCCGCCUGCCGCAGCCUCCCGCACACGCUCCUGGGGCUCUGCCGCAGCUGCUGCUCGGGCCAGCAGCUCCUUCUCCCGGUGCGAAUGUUGUCUGUUGUCUUGCUGAGGGCGGGGGGCCCGCUUCUGCCUCACCUUGCAGUCCCAGGAGCAGAAGAUAGUGACGGCGUGGAUGCCAGAGGUGCUGCCCACCCGGUAUUAGCAUUAGCUUAGCAUUACUGUAGUGGCUGUAAUACAUGAUGAUGUGGGUGAAGCAGCCUGUGUCUUUGAGGAGCUCCAGGCCAGAGCAGAUGCGGGCAGGGCCCGGCGGGGCGGGCGUGAAGGCGGCCUCCGGGCCCACAAUGAAGGCCACGAGCAGCAGCAGCAGGAAGGCGUUGAAGGCCAGCAGGGUCUUAAGGAAGAGGAAGUAGGAGAGCACGUUGGAGCUGAACUAGCCCCUGAUGCGCUUCAGGACGUAGCGCCACGGCUUCAGGGCCUGCAGGCCCAAGAGCAGCGCCAGCCCCAGGCUGUGCAAGGCCAGCACACAGACAUAUCUGAGCCAACCACAGCAGGAGCAGACUCUGCCAUGGCCCCGCAGGCUCCUCCACUUCCCGCUCUGGGUUCGGCUCUUCUCUCGCAGGCCGCGUUUCUCAGCCAGGCUUAGGGGAAUCCCUCGAAGCACGUGGUCCCGCUGCGCCACAGCCAGGCCCUGGAGCUCCUUCACCAGGAGGCUCCGCUUCUCCUCCUCUUCCUCCCAGGACGUGGGGUCCAGCUUCAGGUCGUACAGACGCAGGCUGUGCCGGGAGGAGCGCACCAAGUCUGCGAGCAGGGGCCGGCCAAUGGUGAGGCUGGGAAUGCUGGCCAGGACGCAGAGUGUGGCCGUGCUGUGGGUGCCCUCGGGCCCCAAGAGUGUCUGCUGGCCACUCGCUGUGGCCACCACCCCUCUCCCUCUGCUACAGCUCCAGCCCCUCCUGGGCCUCCCAGCGGCUCUGCUCUUGGAUGAGCAAGUGGAAGGAGUAGUGCAUUUCAGUCUCAUCGUAGGGGCUGGGCUCCUGGCUGGGAGGCGCCAAGGUGGAGGGAAUGAUAUCUUUUCAACAAGUGGAAUUCACGUUAAUAAAUCAAAGGAGG
rnacentral:lncRNA from 1 species